rnacentral:rRNA from 1 species
GACAGAGGGUGCAAACGUUGUUCGGAAUUACUGGGCGUAAAGGGCUCGUAGGCGGCCAACUAAGUCAGACGUGAAAUCCCUCGGCUUAACCGGGGAACUGCGUCUGAUACUGGAUGGCUUGAGUUUGGGAGAGGGAUGCGGAAUUCCAGGUGUAGCGGUGAAAUGCGUAGAUAUCUGGAGGAACACCGGUGGCGAAGGCGGCAUCCUGGACCAACACUGACGCUGAGUGAGCGAAAGCCAGGGGAGCAAACGGG